UUUAUCUUCGGCAAUGCAUAUGAAAUUGGGAUGAUGCAGAGCGGAUUACCAUGGCCUAUGUACAAGGAUGACACACAAAUUAGCAAAGCGUUCCGUCCCAUAUUUUA
rfam:Octopus bimaculoides Scaffold67659_contig_96, whole genome shotgun sequence.